GGACUGCAUAUCAAAUUCUUGGACAACACUUCCUUCAUCAACCCACAAAACAAAGGAAGCUUUCAAUCGCAGAUUCAUCUACACACUAAGAUGAAAAUAGACGCUGACUGCCACACACCAAGUCACCAAAGCUCUUUCGAAAGGAAACUAACAAAGCAAACCCUUCAUCCUUGAAGCAUACUGGGACAAGCCGUCGCGUUGAAUCAAGUCCAGCGGUCGCCUCCUCCAGCAGACGCCGUCGUCUCCGAGCGGUCCAAACCAGGUCGAAUCAGCCUCAUCGGCUUGAAGAUACUCGAUUCACGCUGAAGGUUCUUCCUCCACUCAUCUGCCAAUACAGGUACCAUAUGUUUGGGUAAAUGUUUUUGGUUUUUUUUUUUUUUUUUUGUAGAUGAAAUGGUAAACGGUUGUGGUUAUUGUUUUUAUUUUUUCCUGCAUUUGGGCGAGAAAUUUGGUUAUAUCUAAAAUCUGGAAGUGCUUGGAGUGUUGUUUGUCUUGUUUAUUGUUGUAAAUGGUAAAUGGUUGUGGAUUAUUGUUGUAAAUGGAGUGUUGUUUGUCUUGUUUAUCCAAUUUAUCCCAUAAACACACACAUAUAGAUAUAGAUAUUGUUGUAAACGGUUGUGUUUGUCUUGUAAACCGUUUACCAUUUUUUUGUAGAUGAAAUGGUAAACGGUUGGUUGGCAUUAUUGUUUUUAUUUUUCCUGCAUUUGGAUGAGAAAUUUGUUCUCUUUUAAAAUCUGGAAGUGUUUGGUUUGUGAAGGUUUGUUUGACGUUGCUUGAUCAUCCUGUUUGGGGUUGUGUGCUUGACAUUGUUGGGUUUGGAGUGUUGUUUGUCUGUUUAAUUUUUCUUCAAUGUGUUUAGCAAUGUCACAUCUGUAGUUGGGGAUUGCUAUAACUGUGAUUGAAAUCCUACAUCACCACAACAACACCACAUAAAGAACGAGUGUAUCGAACUUCUCCUUUGAUAAUCACUGCUGAUGUAGCAGUCUACUGGUUUUAAUAGAAACAUGCCAUUUAUGGAUGCAUGCAUGGCUUCUGAUUACUAUAUUUCCCACAAAAAGAAUAUCUUAAAUUUCUAAUUAGUAAAUUAAUUGAAUUUAAGGUUGGCUUGAGAAGUUCAACUAUAUAUAACAUAUUGUGCUCCUUAAAAAAUAGAAGGGACUUUUUCUUUGGUGUGUAACUUUGCUUUCAAGCAAUGUUAAUUAAUACUCCAAAAUAUGGCUCCAAUGGAAGAAUUAGUUCUCAUUCAUCAUUGGAUGAGAAUUGGUUUGAGGGAGGAUAUGGAGUGAGUAUGAAGCUAGGAAUGCCAAGAAAUCGACCAUCCACCCUACUUACAACAUGAAUCACUUGAUGGACUGAACCAUGCUGUUUAAUUUAUGCAUGUUUAAUUUGAAGUUAAAUAGUUAAGUG